rnacentral:lncRNA from 1 species
CGCCCUUAGCUCGCGUGCCCAACCCUAAGGCUGAAAACGCCCCCUGUAGGCUACUGUAAGCUGUAGCAUUCAAGGCCUCCCAGGUGUCGCUGUAAUUUCUUGUAUACAUUUUAGCUCCAUCUGUGGCAUAGGUACCAUUCAAUGUUAUCUUAAUACACUAGCUUUGGAUUUUGUGGCUGCAACAAUAACAAAAAAAAAUCCUUGGUUCUGAUGACUUCAUGUUGUUUCAGAAGAUGGCCAACACAGUGAAACCCCAUCUCUACUAAAAAUACAAAACUUACCUGGGCAUGGUGGUGCACACCCGUAGUCUCAGCUACUCGGGAGGCUGAGGCAGGAGAAUUGCUUGAACCUGGGAGGCGGAGGUUGCAGUGAGCCAAGAUCGCACCACUGCGCUCCAGCCUGGGUGGCAGAGCGAGACUCCCUGUGUGGAAAAAAAAAAAAAAGAUACUCAGAUGUAGCUGUCUCUGCCUGGGUUGUUUUCUAAAUGCGUUUGGC